UUGAGUGAUCCUGUCAGCAACAUAUUCUUGUCUCGAAGAUGAAAACAUGAAAGUCUUAGUACACACGGCCGUUCCAGUGAAACUGUUAAUGGCUCAUUAAAUCAGUUAUGGUUCCUUUGAUCGCAACAACGUUACUUGGAUAACUGUUGAAAUUCUAGAGCUAAUACAUGCCAAUGAGCGCUGACCUUCGGGGAUGCGUGCAUUUAUCAGAUCCAAGACUAGGGCUGUGGCGGUCACAACAUUUCAUCAGCCGGUGACUGUCAAGCAAAUAACUGCCGGUCUCACGGUAAUUUACCGUUAAUUAACAUAAACACAUUUAGCAUCUCCUGGCUUCCACACAAGCCACUGAUGCAGACCUUUGGGACAUCUACAUUUUAAAAAGUAAAAUAAAUCCAUGUAAUAUAGCCUACACCAUCACAAUAAAUCCAUUCUUUAUUUUAGACAGGUCUAAAGAAACAUGAUAUAAAGAAAAUGCAGUCUAUUUCAGAAGAACAGAAUAGCAUACUCUGAGUUGUCCUUAUGUUAGGUCCUGAUCCGGCUAUGCCAUAUGGCUGUGGGCUACACUAGUUCAUUUAGCAGACAUGAUUUGCUUAGAAUUCCAUGGCAUUAUUUUAUAUUAUUUUAUAUUAUAUUAUAUUAUAAUAUGAAGAAUACAAUUGAACAAAGCUGAAUAAAAUAGAAAGGAUAUUUUCUCCAAACGAUUUGAGGGAGUGCGCACAUGCGGCUAUUCUAUGUUGAACUGUUAACAAAUAAAUAUGUACUCCAAUAUGCUUAAUUUAGCGUUAUUAAUGUAACUUUAGUUGUUCUACAAAAAAAAGCUGAUAGAGGCCAUCACUCUGUUUUCUCGUGUAAUUUCAUAGCCUAUAGAAAUGUUGCACAACAGGAGCUCAUGGGCUCUCAUGAAGAGUUUGAUUUGAUUUUAGAACUAUUUGCAUUGAUGUCAGAGUGAUUAGAGGGACAAUAGAGUGCUGAGUACCAGGCAGUUAGCAAGUUUGGUAGGAUACUAAUGUCCAUCAGCAGCAUCAGAGCUUGGAGAAGCCUAGUUACCGUGACUAAACAGUCACGUGGAAUUUGGCUGCCUUCGUGCCACGUGACCUCCAGUGUGGCGGUAAUAUGGUCACCACAACAAAACCUACCCAAAACCCAUGCGGGGUAGUCCCUGGCAUCAAUGGUUUUGUUGACCCCAUUAGUGCCGCUGAAGUCUCAUUCGAAUGUGUGCCCUAUCAACUUUCAAUGGUACUUUCUGUGCAUACCAUGUUGACUACGGGUAACAGGGAAUCGAGGUUCGAUUCCAGGGAGGAAGCCUAAGAAACGGCUACCACAUCCAAGGAAGGCACCAGGCACGUAAAUUACCCACUCCGACUCGGGGAGGUAGUGACAAAAAAGAACAAUACAGGACUCUUUCGAGGCCCUGUAAUUGGAAUGAAUACACUUAAAUAAUUGAAUGAGGAUCCAUAAUUGAUGUUUAGAAAAUGCA
rnacentral:ncRNA from 1 species